UACGUAGGUGGCAAGCGUUGUCCGGAUUUACUGGGCGUAAAGAGCGCGCAGGCGGUCGAUCAAGUCGAGUGUGAAAGCCCCCGGCUCAACUGGGGAGGGUCAUUCGAUACUGAUCGACUCGAAGGCAGGAGAGGGUAGUGGAAUUCCCGGUGUAGUGGUGAAAUGCGUAGAUAUCGGGAGGAACACCAGUGGCGAAGGCGACUACCUGGCCUGUUCUUGACGCUGAGGCGCGAAAGCUAGGGAGCAAACGGG
rnacentral:rRNA from 1 species